rnacentral:rRNA from 1 species
UACGUAGGGUGCGAGCGUUAAUCGGAAUUACUGGGCGUAAAGCGUGCGCAGGCGGUUCGUUGUGUCGGCGGUGAAAGCCCCGGGCUUAACCUGGGAACUGCAUUUGUGACUGCAUCGCUGGAGUGCGGCAGAGGGGGGGAUGGAAUUCCGCGUGUAGCAGUGAAAUGCGUAGAUAUGCGGAGGAACACCGAUGGCGAAGGCAAUCCCCUGGGCCUGCACUGACGCUCAUGCACGAAAGCGUGGGGAGCAAACAGG